rnacentral:rRNA from 1 species
UACAGAGGCCUCGAGCGUUAGGCGGAAUCACUGGGCUUAAAGCGUGUGUAGGUGGAUGCCUAAGUACCUUGUGAAAUCCCAUGGCUUAACCAUGGAAUUGCUUGGUAUACUGGGUGGUCUUGAGCCACUCAGGGGCGAGGCGGAACAAACGGUGGAGCGGGUGAAAUGCGUAGAUAUCGUUUGGAACGCCAAUGGUGAAAAC